CUGAUAUUUUAGACUGAAUAUCCUGAACCUGGGACAACCAAACUCUGGGCUGACAGCAUUUCUACCAUUUUACUUGAAUGCUGUUUUCUCUCUCUUGUUUUCAGAAGAAUUCAUUGCAGGAUACAUCCAAUUCAGAGUGUUUAAUAAUGAGAGAGCAGCCAAUGCCUUGUGUCCUGGGAUGAAGGUCACUGGAUGUAACACUGAGCAUCACUGCAUUGGUGGAGGAGGAUUCUUCCCAGAAGGUAACCCUGUACAAUGUGGCGACUUCUCUGCAUUUUAUUGGAAUGGAUAUGGAACUCACAAUGCGUACAGCAAUAGCCGGGAGAUAACUGAAGCAACUGUCCUUCUGUUCUAUCGAUGAAAUCUUUGUGGUGUUGGACUGACAUGCCUGGAGAAAAACUUACCUAGUAACUAGAAUGCUAGUGACACAGGAAAGGGAAAUAAAUCAUGUUAUUGCA